rnacentral:SRP_RNA from 1 species
GCCGGGCACGGUGGUGCAUGCCUGUCGUCCCAGCUACUCGGGGGGCUGAGGCUGGGAUCUUUUGAGCCCAGGAGUUCUGGGCUGUAGUGCACUAUGCCAAUCGGGUGUCCGCACUAAGUUCGGCAUCAAUACGGUGACCUCCUGGGAGCAGGGGACCACCACGUUGCCUAAGGAGGGGUGAACCGGCCCAGGUUGGAAACGGAGCAGAUCAAAACUCCCACGCUUAUCAGUAGUGGGAUCGCACCUGUGAAUAGCCACUGCACUCCAGCCUGGGCAACAUAGCGAGACCCCGUCUCU